GCUCCUGUACGAUCACUGAAGUUAAGCAAUGUCAAGCUUGAUUAGUACCUAGAUGGGUGACCGCUUGGGAAUACCAGGUAUUGUAAG